rnacentral:rRNA from 1 species
AGUGAACGCUGGCGGUAGGCCUAACACAUGCAAGUCGAACGGCAGCACAGUAAGAGCUUGCUCUUACGGGUGGCGAGUGGCGGACGGGUGAGGAAUACAUCGGAAUCUACUUUUUCGUGGGGGAUAACGUAGGGAAACUUACGCUAAUACCGCAUACGACCUACGGGUGAAAGCAGGGGAUCUUCGGACCUUGCGCGAUUGAAUGAGCCGAUGUCGGAUUAGCUAGUUGGCGGGGUAAAGGCCCACCUAGGCGACGAUCCGUAGCUGGUCUGAGAGGAUGAUCAGCCACACUGGAACUGAGACACGGUCCAGACUCCUACGGGAGGCAGCAGUGGGGAAUAUUGGACAAAGGGCGCAAGCCUGAUCCAGCCAUACCGCGUGGGUGAAGAAGGCCUUCGGGUUGUAAAGCCCUUUUGUUGGGAAAGAAAAGCAGCAGGUUAAUACCCCGCUGUUCUGACGGUACCCAAAGAAUAAGCACCGGCUAACUUCGUG